GACGAACGCUGGCGGCGUGCCUAAUACAUGCAAGUCGAGCGGACGGAUGGGAACUUGUUCCCUGAAGUCAGCGGCGGACGGGUGAGUAACACGUGGGCAACCUGCCUGUAAGACUGGGAUAACUUCGGGAAACCGGAGCUAAUACCGGAUACGUUCUUUUCUCGCAUGAGGGAAGAUGGAAAGAUGAUUUCGGCUAUCACUUACAGAUGGGCCCGCGGCGCAUUAGCUAGUUGGUGGGGUAAUGGCCCACCAAGGCGACGAUGCGUAGCCGACCUGGGAGGGUGAUCGGCCACACUGGGACUGAGACACGGCCCAGACUCCUACGGGAGGCAGCAGUAGGGAAUCUUCCGCAAUGGACGAAAGUCUGACGGAGCAACGCCGCGUGAGCGAAGAAGGCCUUCGGGUCGUAAAGCUCUGUUGUCAGGGAAGAACAAGUACCAGAGUAACUGCUGGUACCUUGACGGUACCUGACCAGAAAGCCACGGCUAACUACGUGCCAGCAGCCGCGGUAA
rnacentral:rRNA from 1 species